rnacentral:rRNA from 1 species
AUGCAAGUGGGCGACUUGGCAUGGUGGCUUGGCCUCCUGCUCGGCGCCGUCCCGUUGGCCGCUCUCGCUGUCUGGCGCUGCAACGACGCCUGGUACUGCGCCGCCUUCGCGCUGCGGCAGCGGCGGUGGCGUCGUGGUCGCCACGUUCGGCUCCCACCAGGCCACAUGGGCAUCCCCUUCUUUGGCGAGACCGCCGCGUUGUCCUGGUACUUCAAGGUGGCGCGCCGGCCGGACGGCUUCAUCGAGGCCAGGAAGAAGAGGUACGGCGAAGGGGUGGGCAUGUACAGGUCCCACCUCUUCGGCAGGCCGACCAUCAUCGUCUGUGACCCGGCGGCCAACAAGUUCGUCCUGCAGUCCCACGACAACUUCUGGCUCCGGUGGCCAGCGAGGGACCUCCUCGGCCUGUCGUCCAUGUUCAACGUCGAGGGGAGCAUGCACAGGAGAAUCAGGGGCUACGUCGUCGCCACGUUCAGCAAGCCGAGGUCCCGGAGGAACAUCGCCCGUAUGGCUCAGCCCUGUGUCGUGGAGGCGCUACGGUCGUGGGCGGACAAGGGAACCAUCAUCGCCGCCAAGGAGAUCAGGAAGGUGAUGUUCGAGAGCACUCUCGAGAUAUUUAUAAGCAUGAAGGCGUCUCCUCUCACAGAAAAGAUGGAUAAAUGGUUUGUAGGCGUACUUGGCGGGCUCACGGCACUGCCACUGGACUUACCGGGAACAGCGCUGAAUCAUGGUCGGAAGUGUCGAAGGAGGUUACAUGCAGUGUUUGAAAAGGAGCUUCAGAAGAGGAAAAAUAACGUGAAAUGGGGGCUUGCCGCGGAGGAAGACUAUGAUGAUGAUUUGAUGAGCGGGCUGAUGGAAAUGGAAGAUGAACAAGGGGAAAAGCUGAGCGACGAGGAGGUGCUGGAUAACAUUGUCUCGCUGGUCUUUGGCGGUUACGAGUCCAUUUCCAGUGCUGUGUUGUGGGCUGCCUACCAUUUGGCCAAAUCGCCGGUUAUCCUUGCCAAGUUGCGGAAUGAGAAUGCCGCAGUGAGCGAGGGUAAAAGUUCAAACUUUCUUACUCUUGAUGACAUUCCAAAGAUGAAAUACACGGCCAAGGUAGUUGAAGAGGCAAUUAGACUGGCCAAUAUUGCUCCUAUGGUCCAUCGUGUGGCUUAUAGAGACGUCGAGUAUGGAGGAUAUACAAUCCCACAAGGGUGGCAAGUUGUGGUGUGGCUCCGCGCAAUGCAUAUCGAUGCGAAAUACUAUCAGGAUCCACUGAUCUUCAACCCAGAUAGAUGGAAUGAACCACCAAUGGCAGGAACAAAUCAACUGUUUGGAGCUGGCAACAGGACAUGUGCGGGCAACAUGCUUGCCAGGCUACAGAUCACCAUCAUGUUGCAUCAUCUUUCACUUGGUUACGAAUGGGAGUUGCUUAAUCCGGAUGCGGGGGUUAAGUACAUUCCACAACCAAUGCCAGUUGACGGAGCACCAAUGGCGUUCCAUAGACUUAGUACAAGUACUCAAUGA